rnacentral:rRNA from 1 species
AGAGUUUGAUCCUGGCUCAGAAUCAACGCUGGCGGCGCGCCUAACACAUGCAAGUCGAACGAGAAAGUGGAGCAAUCCAUGAGUACAGUGGCGUACGGGUGAGUAACACGUGGGUAAUCUACCCUUUGGUGGGGAAUAACUCUGGGAAACCGGAGCUAAUACCGCAUAAUCCCGAGAGGGAAAAGCAGCAAUGCGCCGAAGGAGGAGCCCGCGGCCGAUUAGCUAGUUGGUAGGGUAACAGCCUACCAAGGCAAAGAUCGGUAGCCGGCCUGAGAGGGCACACGGCCACACUGGCACUGAAACACGGGCCAGACUCCUACGGGAGGCAGCAGUGGGGAAUCUUGCACAAUGGGGGAAACCCUGAUGCAGCGACGCCGCGUGAGCGAUGAAGCCCUUCGGGGUGUAAAGCUCUUUCGGCAGGGAAGAUUAUGACGGUACCUGCAGAAGCAGCUGCGGCUAACUACGUGCCAGCAGCCGCGGUAAUACGUAGGCAGCAAGCGUUGUUCGGAGUUACUGGGCGUAAAGGGUGUGUAGGCGGCUUUUUAAGUUUGGUGUGAAAUCUCCCGGCUCAACCGGGAGGGUGCGCCGAAUACUGAGAGGCUAGAGUGCGGGAGAGGAAAGUGGAAUUCCUGGUGUAGCGGUGAAAUGCGUAGAUAUCAGGAGGAACACCGGUGGUGUAGACGGCUUUCUGGACCGUAACUGACGCUGAAACACGAAAGCGUGGGUAGCAAACAGGAUUAGAUACCCUCGUAGUCC